rnacentral:rRNA from 1 species
UACGUAGGGGGCUAGCGUUGUCCGGAAUCAUUGGGCGUAAAGCGCGUGUAGGCGGUCCGGUAAGUCCGCUGUGAAAGUCGGGGGCUCAACCCUCGAAUGCCGGUGGAUACUGUCGGGCUAGAGUGCGGGAGAGGAGAGUGGAAUUCCUGGUGUAGCGGUGGAAUGCGCAGAUAUCAGGAAGAACACCCGUGGCGAAGGCGGCUCUCUGGAACGCAACUGACGCUGAGACGCGAAAGCGUGGGGAGCAAACAGG